rnacentral:piRNA from 1 species
UUUGCCAGAGUGAGUUUUUUGAAGAUC